AGGGAAUAUUUACUCUAGAAGCCAGUUUUAACAUAGUGAACAGAGAAUAAAUAGACAUUAGUAAAUAGCCAUUUUAUUUUAAUUCAUCUGUCCAUAACAGUCCCCCUUAAAAUGGCAAUUUUUACUAAAACUACUAUCUCUCAUUCUAAUACUGUCCCUAUAGAAAAAUAACAAAAGGCUAUCUUGCACAUCUGUCUGAACAGGCCUCGAACACUUCACUGCGCGGGUACCCCAUAGCAGCUUGUCCACUACUUCUCCCGUGGCAGACUUCUGCCCGUAGAGACAGACGCUAUCCCUAAAUGUCCUUAAGAGGAAGUAGCUGUUGAUUUAGUGCGGUGGGACUGUAAGGGUGUAUGUGGUGUAUCACGGUCGAUAUCGUCAAUCUCUUGGUGAAGGAAGGUCGGGGUGGUCUGGUCGAUUGCCUGAUCAACUGUCUUUUGUAGGCAUUUCUUAAGACAGGGUAACACACAACAAACAAGAAGAGCGAGGAUGAUCGUUAUUAAAAUGGCAACACCUAUUUGGGCCAGAGCACCUUGCCAUUCAGACAUCCAUCCAAACCAUCUUUCCCAUGGAUCUGUGGCCCCAGAAUUUCGUUUCAGUUCAUUGGACAAACUCUUUAACUUUUCUAUUGCCAACGUUACUUUACCAUUAGGGCCUGUAUUAUCUGGAAUAUAGGUACAGCAUGUCAUGGUGUCUGGGAGUAUUUUACAUACUCUCCCUUUUUCUGCUAAAAUCAUUUCCAAGCUUAUUCUAUUCUGGAAGGUCAUCUGAGAGAUAGUUUGUAACCGCCCUAUCCCACCAUAUAUCCCAUAAC
rnacentral:lncRNA from 1 species